UACGGAGGGGGCAAGCGUUAUUCGGAAUUAUUGGGCGUAAAGGGCAGGUAGGCGGCUUCGUGUGUCUCUUGUGAAAGCCCUCGGCUCAACUGAGGAAUUGCAAGGGAAACUACGGAGCUUGAGUCCGGGAGAGGAGAGUGGAAUUCCCAGUGUAGCGGUGAAAUGCGUAGAUAUUGGGAGGAACACCGGUGGCGAAGGCGGCUCUCUGGACCGGUACUGACGCUGAGCUGCGAAAGCCAGGGGAGCAAACGGG
rnacentral:rRNA from 1 species